rnacentral:rRNA from 1 species
UACGGAGGGGGCUAGCGUUGUUCGGAAUUACUGGGCGUAAAGCGCACGUAGGCGGAUCGUUAAGUCAGGGGUGAAAUCCUGGAGCUCAACUCCAGAACUGCCUUUGAUACUGGCGACCUUGAGUUCGGGAGAGGUGAGUGGAACUGCGAGUGUAGAGGUGAAAUUCGUAGAUAUUCGCAAGAACACCAGUGGCGAAGGCGGCUCACUGGCCCGAUACUGACGCUGAGGUGCGAAAGCGUGGGGAGCAAGCAGG